rnacentral:rRNA from 1 species
CCUACGGGGGGCAGCAGUGAGGAAUAUUGGUCAAUGGACGAGAGUCUGAACCAGCCAAGUAGCGUGAAGGAUGACUGCCCUAUGGGUUGUAAACUUCUUUUAUAUGGGAAUAAAAUGUUCCACGUGUGGGAUUUUGUAUGUACCAUAUUAAUAAGGAUCGGCUAACUCCGUGCCAGCAGCCGCGGUAAUACGGAGGAUCCGAGCGUUAUCCGGAUUUAUUGGGUUUAAAGGGAGCGUAGGUGGAUUGUUAAGUCAGUUGUGAAAGUUUGCGGCUCAACCGUAAAAUUGCAGUUGAAACUGGCAGUCUUGAGUACAGUAGAGGUGGGCGGAAUUCGUGGUGUAGCGGUGAAAUGCUUAGAUAUCACGAAGAACUCCGAUUGCGAAGGCAGUUCACUGGACUGCAACUGACACUGAGGCUCGAAAGUGUGGGUAUCAAACAGGAUUAGAUACCCUUGUAGUC